rnacentral:hammerhead_ribozyme from 1 species
GCACUGCUGAAGAGUCCAACAAUGGGACGAGACGGCCUUUCAGUGC